AUUGAACGCUGGCGGAAUGCUUUACACAUGCAAGUCGAACGGCAGCACGGGUGCUUGCACCUGGUGGCGAGUGGCGAACGGGUGAGUAACAUAUCGGAACGUACCCAGUAAUGGGGGAUAACUAAGCGAAAGCUUAGCUAAUACCCCAUACGCACUGAGGGGGAAAGCGGGGGACCGAAAGGCCUCGCGUUCUUGGCGCGGCCGAUAUCUGAUUAGCUAGUUGGUGGAGUAAAGGCCCACUAAGGCGACGAUCAUUAGCUGGUCUGAGGGGAUGAUCAGCCACACUCGAACUGAGACACGGUCCAGACUCCUGCGGGAGGUAGCAGUGGGGAAUUUUGGACAAGGGGGGCAACCCUGAUCCAGCCAUUCCGCGUGAGUGAAGAAGGCCUUCGGGUUGUAAAGCUCUUUCGGCAGGGAAGAAACGCUCUGGGUUAAUACCCUGGGGUAAUGCCGGUACCUGAAGAAGAAGCACCGGCUAACUACGUGCCAGCCGCCGCCGUAACAC
rnacentral:rRNA from 1 species